GGAGAUAUGGCAGAGCUGGUUGAAUGCGCACGACUCGAAAUCGUGUAUACGGGCGACCGUAUCGAGGGUUCGAAUCCCCCUAUCUCCGCCA
rnacentral:tRNA from 1 species